AUUUAUUCAUUUGUGUAUGUUGAACCAGCAUUUCAUCCCAAAGAUGCAGCCGACUUGAUUGUGGUGGAUAAGCUUUUUGAUGUGCUGCUGGAUUCUGUUUGCUAGUAUUUUAUUAAGAAUUUUUGCAUUAAUGUUCAUCAGGGAUAUUGGCCUGGAUUGAGCAGGCCAUUUCCAAUCCAGCGGAAGACCUUCUAGAAGAGGUGAUGGGUGGGAGAGUGCUGGCAUACUAUGUGAAGCUACUAUUUGGAGUUGGACACGAGUGCAUGUGACCUUGUGCCACAGCGGGAAUGUGAGCUGGAUGACAAAUGGAGAUUUGGACUUGUGAUAAUUGGCCUCUGUGUCAUUGUGUGGAAGACUGACUGGUCCCUUUAUUUCCUGUAGCUUGACUACCACACAAAUGAAUCCACUCAAAUGUUGGCAAGUGGAGCAGAGUCCCAGGACAGGUACAGAAACACCCCCAGUUCAAGGAUCUUCACACCUGGAUUUAGGCCUACUCCUGCAACUACCCCAGAACCUGGAAUUUAUAUGUUCAACAUGGAGCCAUCCCAGCCAUGACAACAGAGAAUGUACCACUCUCACAGUUACUAUGAAUUAUUAUAUUGUGGCUACUUACACCAAGAUGAAGAUAAUUUAUUAGUUCAGGAAGAACCUGCAUUCUGAAGGCAAAUG
rnacentral:lncRNA from 10 species